AUACAAAUCUCCUGGGGAGCUUUUUAAAAUUCAGAUUCUAAUUUAGCAGUUCUGAGAUUCCAACAGCCUUCCAGGUGAUGUCGUU
rnacentral:pre_miRNA from 1 species